ensembl:snoRNA
AUCCUUUCUGUGGUUUGUAAAGAUGUUUCCAACUGGUGUUCACAUGACUGUGUGAGAUGUGCCUCCCUUUAAACCUUGUUAGACGCCAGCACAUGACCCAUUUGAUA